rnacentral:sRNA from 1 species
UUUUUGGAGUCAAAUAUGACUAGAUGUCAUGUGUAUGAUUAAGUAUAAGAACUAGAACCGCAACCGAUUCCCAAAAGCUAAAGUAAUGUUUCCUUGUUUGAAGACACAAAGUCAAAGACUCAUACGGACUUCGGCUACACCAUCAAAACUUUGUGAGGCAAUAAGAAGCUUCGUUAGUUUUUUGGAGUCAAAUACGACUAGAUGUCAUGUGUAUGAUUAAGUAUAAGAACUAGAACCAUAACUGAUUCCCAAAAGCUAAAGUAAUGUUUCCUUGUUAGAAGAUACAAAGCUAAAAACUCAUACGGACUUCGGCUAAGCCAUCAAAAUUUUGAGAAGCAAUAAGAAGCUUGGUUAGUGUUUUGGAGUCAAAUAUGACUAGAUGUCAUGUGUAUGAUUGAGUAUAAGAACUAGAACCGCAACCGUUUCCCAAAAGCUAAAGUAGUGUUUCCUUGUUAGAAGCUACAAAGCCAAAGACUCAUACGGACUUCGGCUACACCAUCAAAGUUUUGAGAAGCAAUAAGAAGCUUGGUUAGUAUUUUGGAGUCAAAUAAGACAAGAUGUUAUGUGUUUGAUUGAGUAUAAGAACUAGAACCGCAACAUCUUCCCAAAAGCUAAAGUUGUGUUUCCCUUCUAGAAGAUACAAAGCCAAAAACUCAUACGGACUUUGGCUACACCAUCAAAGCUUUAAGAAGCAACAAGAAGUUUGGUUAGUGUUUUGGAGUAAAAAA